rnacentral:rRNA from 1 species
GAUGAACGCUGGCGGCGUGCCUAAUACAUGCAAGUCGAGCGAACAGACGAGGAGCUUGCUCCUCUGACGUUAGCGGCGGACGGGUGAGUAACACGUGGAUAACCUACCUAUAAGACUGGGAUAACUUCGGGAAACCGGAGCUAAUACCGGAUAAUAUAUUGAACCGCAUGGUUCAAUAGUGAAAGACGGUUUUGCUGUCACUUAUAGAUGGAUCCGCGCCGCAUUAGCUAGUUGGUCAGGUAACGGCUUACCAAGGCGACGAUGCGUAGCCGACCUGAGAGGGUGAUCGGCCACACUGGAACUGAGACACGGUCCAGACUCCUACGGGAGGCAGCAGUAGGGAAUCUUCCGCAAUGGGCGAAAGCCUGACGGAGCAACGCCGCGUGAGUGAUGAAGGUCUUCGGAUCGUAAAACUCUGUUAUUAGGGAAGAACAAAUGUGUAAGUAACUAUGCACGUCUUGACGGUACCGAAUCAGAAAGCCACGGCUAACUACGUG